rnacentral:misc_RNA from 1 species
CUAAAAAAUAGUCUUGGUCCAUGAAUGAAGAAUACACGUCUCAAUAAGCAUUUCACAUUGAGAUCAUAUUACAUACUUUAUCAAUGCAUCAUUGCAAUUCACAGGGAAAUUUAUUUUUCUGUAGCCAGCAUCAUACCAUCGACUGGAUAGCAGGUAGCACUUCGUUUAAUCCACACAAUUUUCUGUUAGUAAAUAAUGUUGCUUUUCCUUGGUAACAUCAGCUGCAACUUCCAGCUCUUGCAAACUAGACUGGGCAACAAGCCUCUCAACUGGCACUUUGGUCACAUCACGACGUAUUCCAAUAUCAGAAACAAACCGGUAGAUACAAUACAUACCGCAACCCGCAGCUGUCAGAAAGCUAAAGUUGGCAAU